rnacentral:rRNA from 1 species
UACGUAGGGACCAAGCGUUGUUCGGAUUUACUGGGCGUAAAGGGCGCGUAGGCGGCAAUUCAAGUCAGUUGUGAAAUCUCCGAGCUUAACUCGGAACGGUCAACUGAUACUGUUUUGCUAGAGUGCAGAAAGGGCAACCGGAAUUCUUGGUGUAGCGGUGAAAUGCGUAGAUAUCAAGAGGAACACCUGAGGCGAAGGCGGGUUGCUAGGCUGACACUGACGCUGAUGCGCGAAAGCCAGGGGAGCAAACGGG